rnacentral:tRNA from 1 species
GGGGGAAUAGCUCAGUGGUGAGAGCGUUGGUUUGUCAAGUCAAAGGUCGCGGGUUCGAUUCCCGUUUUCCCCG